rnacentral:rRNA from 1 species
CUCGUAGGCGGUUUGUUACGUCGGGAGUGAAAACUCAGGGCUCAACCUUGAGCGUGCUUCCGAUACGGGCAGACUAGAGGUAUGCAGGGGAGAACGGAAUUCCUGGUGUAGCGGUGGAAUGCGCAGAUAUCAGGAGGAACACCGGUGGCGAAGGCGGUUCUCUGGGCAUUACCUGACGCUGAGGAGCGAAAGCAUGGGGGACGAACA